rnacentral:rRNA from 1 species
GACGAACGCUGGCGGCGCGCCUAACACAUGCAAGUCGAACGGAGCUGAGAGAAGCUUGCUUUUCUUAGCUUAGUGGCGAACGGGUGAGUAACGCGUGAGUAACCUGCCCUGGAGUGGGGGACAACAGUUGGAAACGACUGCUAAUACCGCAUAAGCCCACGAUCCGGCAUCGGAUUGAGGGAAAAGGAUUUAUUCGCUUCAGGAUGGACUCGCGUCCAAUUAGCUAGUUGGUGAGGUAACGGCCCACCAAGGCGACGAUUGGUAGCCGGACUGAGAGGUUGAACGGCCACAUUGGGACUGAGACACGGCCCAGACUCCUACGGGAGGCAGCAGUGGGGGAUAUUGCACAAUGGGGGAAACCCUGAUGCAGCGACGCCGCGUGGAGGAAGAAGGUUUUCGGAUUGUAAACUCCUGUCGUUAGGGACGAUAAUGACGGUACCUAACAAGAAAGCGCCGACUAACUACGUG